rnacentral:rRNA from 1 species
CCCGGCACAAGCGGUGGAGCAUGUGGUUAAUUCGAUGAUACGCGAGGAACCUUACCUGGGCUCAAAUGUAUGUUGACGUAUCUGAAAGGGAUACUUCUUCGGACAAUAUACAAGGUGCUGCAUGGUUGUCGUCAGCUCGUGCCGUGAGGUGUCGGGUUAAGUCCCAUAACGAGCGCAACCCCUAUCAUUAGUUGCCAUCAGGUCAAGCUGGGGACUCUAAUGAAACUGCCUACGCAAGUAGUGAGGAAGGUGGGGAUGACGUCAAGUCAUCAUGGCCCUUACGGCCUGGGCUACACACGUGCUACAAUGGUCGGUACAAAGGGUUGCCAAGCCGCGAGGUGGAGCUAAUCCCAUAAAACCGAUCGUAGUCCGGAUCGCAGUCUGCAACUCGACUGCGUGAAGUCGGAAUCGCUAGUAAUCGUGAAUCAGAAUGUCACGGUGAAUACGUUCCCGGGCCUU